AGAUUUUCUAGGACAGAAGAAAAAAGAAUGCCAAAGAGUGGGCUUCUAUGACUUCUGCCUUGCCCUGGAGGUCCAAUACAGGACCAGCAAGUUAUUUCUGUGUGGACAGCCCAGUCCCAGAAGGUAAAACCAUUCUUAACUAUAGUAAGGACCAUCACACUCAGCUGACC